AGAGUUUGAUCCUGGCUCAGGAUGAACGCUGGCGGCGUGCUUAACACAUGCAAGUCGAACGAUGAAGCCCAGCUUGCUGGGUGGAUUAGUGGCGAACGGGUGAGUAACACGUGAGCAACCUGCCCCUGACUCUGGGAUAAGCGCUGGAAACGGCGUCUAAUACUGGAUACGAACAAGAAUCGCAUGGUUACUUGUUGGAAAGAUUUUUUGGUUGGGGAUGGGCUCGCGGCCUAUCAGCUUGUUGGUGAGGUAAUGGCUCACCAAGGCGUCGACGGGUAGCCGGCCUGAGAGGGUGACCGGCCACACUGGGACUGAGACACGGCCCAGACUCCUACGGGAGGCAGCAGUGGGGAAUAUUGCACAAUGGGCGGAAGCCUGAUGCAGCAACGCCGCGUGAGGGAUGACGGCCUUCGGGUUGUAAACCUCUUUUAGCAGGGAAGAAGCGAGAGUGACGGUACCUGCAGAAAAAGCGCCGGCUAACUACGUGCCAGCAGCCGCGGUAAUACGUAGGGCGCAAGCGUUAUCCGGAAUUAUUGGGCGUAAAGAGCUCGUAGGCGGUUUGUCGCGUCUGCUGUGAAAUCCCGAGGCUCAACCUCGGGCCUGCAGUGGGUACGGGCAGACUAGAGUGCGGUAGGGGAGAUUGGAAUUCCUGGUGUAGCGGUGGAAUGCGCAGAUAUCAGGAGGAACACCGAUGGCGAAGGCAGAUCUCUGGGCCGUAACUGACGCUGAGGAGCGAAAGGGUGGGGAGCAAACAGGCUUAGAUACCCUGGUAGUCCACCCCGUAAACGUUGGGAACUAGUUGUGGGGUCCAUUCCACGGAUUCCGUGACGCAGCUAACGCAUUAAGUUCCCCGCCUGGGGAGUACGGCCGCAAGGCUAAAACUCAAAGGAAUUGACGGGGACCCGCACAAGCGGCGGAGCAUGCGGAUUAAUUCGAUGCAACGCGAAGAACCUUACCAAGGCUUGACAUAUACGAGAACGGGCCAGAAAUGGUCAACUCUUUGGACACUCGUAAACAGGUGGUGCAUGGUUGUCGUCAGCUCGUGUCGUGAGAUGUUGGGUUAAGUCCCGCAACGAGCGCAACCCUCGUUCUAUGUUGCCAGCACGUAAUGGUGGGAACUCAUGGGAUACUGCCGGGGUCAACUCGGAGGAAGGUGGGGAUGACGUCAAAUCAUCAUGCCCCUUAUGUCUUGGGCUUCACGCAUGCUACAAUGGCCGGUACAAUGGGCAGCGAUACCGUGAGGUGGAGCGAAUCCCAAAAAGCCGGUCCCAGUUCGGAUUGAGGUCUGCAACUCGACCUCAUGAAGUCGGAGUCGCUAGUAAUCGCAGAUCAGCAACGCUGCGGUGAAUACGUUCCCGGGUCUUGUACACACCGCCCGUCAAGUCAUGAAAGUCGGUAACACCUGAAGCCGGUGGCCUAACCCUUGUGGAGGGAGCUGUCGAAGGUGGGAUCGGUAAUUAGGACUAAGUCGUAACAAGGUA
rnacentral:rRNA from 1 species